AGUGAACGCUGGCGGUAGGCCUAACACAUGCAAGUCGAACGGCAGCACAGUAAGAGCUUGCUCUUACGGGUGGCGAGUGGCGGACGGGUGAGGAAUACAUCGGAAUCUACUUUUUCGUGGGGGAUAACGUAGGGAAACUUACGCUAAUACCGCAUACGACCUACGGGUGAAAGCAGGGGAUCUUCGGACCUUGCGCGAUUGAAUGAGCCGAUGUCGGAUUAGCUAGUUGGCGGGGUAAAGGCCCACCAAGGCGACGAUCCGUAGCUGGUCUGAGAGGAUGAUCAGCCACACUGGAACUGAGACACGGUCCAGACUCCUAUGGGAGGCAGCAGUGGGGAAUAUUGGACAAUGGGCGCAAGCCUGAUCCAGCCAUACCGCGUGGGUGAAGAAGGCCUUCGGGUUGUAAAGACCUUUUGUUGGGAAAGAAAAGCAGCAGGUUAAUACCCCGCUGUUCUGACGGUACCCAAAGAAUAAGCACCGGCUAACUUCGUG
rnacentral:rRNA from 1 species